AUUACUCAAUGCUUUCCUAUGGACGUCCAGCGGAAUCGCGGAAGCACCUCUAGCGGCUGUCAGUGAGACAGCUUCUAGAGGCUGGCUUAACCCUCAGUGAAACAUAGCAGUUUCUCUGAAACUGCUAUGUUGUCAGCUGCAGGGUUAAAACUAGGGGGACCUGGCACCCAGACCACUUCAUUGAGCUGAAGUGAUCUGAGUGCCUAUAGUGGUCCUUUAAGUGUAUCUGCAUGCACUGGCGGCACACUGCGGUCACAGGGGUCGCACCCCUGCGAACAGGUGCCCGCCGCCAUGUGUAUCGGCAAUUGUCGCUCUGGGGCCCCAUGGAUCUUGUGUACGCCACUGUGUGUCAUAAUCUGUGUUAGUGUGUCAUUAUGUGUGUUGGUGUGUGUCAUCAUGUGUGCUAGUGUGUGUGUCACCUUGUCAGUGUGUGUCAUUAUGUGUAAUACCCCUCUUGUGUGCAGUUAUACAUAUAUACAACAUAGUCUGAAUUGCAUGCAUAAUCGUUAUAAAUAUAUUUCUUGUGAGUAUGUGGAUGCACAAAUGACUCUCCCUUUAUCACGUUGUUGCAAUGCAAGCAACCUAAGCAAGGAAAUGUGCCUUUCUUAGAUUCAGAGAAGAACCUAGCCAGUUCCUUGCAACUGCCUAUGUCAGAUUUUACCAGAAUUUCCCUUACAUUUUUCUCUAGGCCUCCCCCCCAACACACAAAAACAUUAUCUAUAAACCGCUUCCAUAUUAAGCAUUUCGAAAAAAAGUUCAAGGUUGUAUAUAUGAGAUUCCUCUAAGCUUCAGUUAAUAUUCACCAUGCUUAGUGUUCUUGGUUCUACUCCCAUGGAUCCCAGAUUUUUUUAAACAUGGACAUUGUGUUUCUGAUCUUGGCUGUCAAUUUGUCCAUUAAGUAAGUAUCUUUUAUUUUUGAGUAACAUGAACUAGUGGGGGCUCUUUUGGUUUAAGUCAUGAUUGACCUAAUGUUAUACAUGCUGCCAGAGCUAAAAUGUGUAAAAGCCUCUACUUCUUUGUAAGCAUUCUCUCAAUGGGUGACAGCUCUCUUAAGGUCCCCUCCACAGCACGUCAAUUGGGUUGAGGUCUGGACUACGACUGGGCCAUUGCAAUACCUUUAUUCUUUUCUUUUUCAGCCAUUUAGUUGUAGAUUUUCUGGUGUGCUUAGGAUCAUUGUCCUGUUGCAUGAAACAAUUUCGGCCAAGCUGAAGCUAUCGGACAGAUGCCCUCACAUUUUACCGUAGAAUACUUUGGUAAACAGAAG